rnacentral:rRNA from 1 species
CUCGUAGGCGGUUUGUCACGUCGGGAGUGAAAUCCAGGUGCUUAACACCUGGCCUGCUUCCGAUACGGGCAGACUAGAGGUAUGCAGGGGAGAACGGAAUUCCUGGUGUAGCGGUGAAAUGCGCAGAUAUCAGGAGGAACACCGGUGGCGAAGGCGGUUCUCUGGGCAUUACCUGACGCUGAGGAGCGAAAGUGUGGGGAGCGAACA